GGAGGGGUACCGAAGCGGUCAUAACGGGGCGGUCUUGAAAACCGUUAGGGUUAAUAGCCCACGUGGGUUCGAAUCCCACCCCCUCCGCCA
rnacentral:tRNA from 1 species